GUAGUCAUAUGCUUGUCUCAAAGAUUAAGCCAUGCAUGUCUAAGUAUAAGCACUUUAUACUGUGAAACUGCGAAUGGCUCAUUAAAUCAGUUAUCGUUUAUUUGAUAGUACCUUACUACAUGGAUACCUGUGGUAAUUCUAGAGCUAAUACAUGCUAAAAACCCCGACUUCAGGAAGGGGUGUAUUUAUUAGAUAAAAAACCAACGCCCUUCGGGGCUCCUUGGUGAAUCAUAAUAACUUAACGAAUCGCAUGGCCUUGCGCCGGCGAUGGUUCAUUCAAAUUUCUGCCCUAUCAACUUUCGAUGGUAUGGUCUUGGCUUACCAUGGUUUCAACGGGUAACGGGGAAUUAGGGUUCUAUUCCGGAGAGGGAGCCUGAGAAACGGCUACCACAUCCAAGGAAGGCAGCAGGCGCGCAAAUUACCCAAUCCCGACACGGGGAGGUAGUGACAAUAAAUACUGAUACAGGGCUCUUUUGGGUCUUGUAAUUGGAAUGAGUACAAUUUAAAUCCCUUAACGAGGAACAAU
rnacentral:rRNA from 1 species